rnacentral:snRNA from 1 species
AAUCUUUUUGAGCCUAUUGCUAAUACCCCUACAGGCUUAGAUCAAGUGUAGUAUCUGUUCUUUUCAGUUUAAUCUCUGAAACGGUUCUAUGGAACCUUUUUUUGAUUAUACUUAUUUUUGUUUACCUCGGGACCCUGUCUCUGGCUUGCCAUGCUUGGUCCCACUGUGUCGCCGGUAUUGCACUGCCUCCGGUUGACGCGAACUUUU